UUCUUUCAUGGACAAUAAAUAACUUAUUAUAGAGAGCUGCUUAAACAGAUUAGGAAACGUGAUGUUUCUUUGUUAAAUGACUUGAUGUUAGCCAUGUACCACACCCUAAAAUUUUCCUCCAUAUCCAUCCAUCCAUCCAUCCAUCCAUUUUCUGUAGCUACCACUUAUCCUACAGGGUCGCAGGGAACCUGGAGCCUAUCCUAGGGGACUGGAGACACCCUGGAUGGGGUACCAACCCAUCGCAGGGCACAAUCUCACACACUCAGACACCACAGACAAUAUGGAAAUGCCAAUCAGCGUACAGCUCAUGUCUCUGGACUGGGGGAGGAAACCAGAGUACCCUGAGGAAACCCCCGAAGCAUGGGGAGAACAUGCGAACUCCACACACACAGGGCAGAGGCGUGAAUCGAAACUCCAACCCCAGAGUAUACAUUUCACCUCAAGAUGGCACCAUCUGCAAACAUAACCUUCCCAUACUCUCCUCUGGGUUUCAGUUAGGUCACAGUGGAUCUGGAGCCAAUCCCAGGAACACCGGGUGCAAGACAGGACAUACUCAAACACUUCUUCACACCUGGUGACAAUUUAGAGACAUCAUUUCUGUAGUACCUGGAGGAUGACCACAGAGACCCAGCGAAACCAGGAGCUAACACAGUGAGCACAAUGUCCCUGUCUGAGGCCCCACAUGUGUCUGGACGGGAAUGCCUUUGGAGGGGAAGGGGAAAAGGAUGGAAAGCUUUACACGAAGUUAUUAUUCUUUAUUUAGGUGGGAUAGUUUCCAUAUGUAUUGACAAAUAGUCAAUUCCCUGUAAAGAAGUUAGGGACGUUGAUUAUUUGGACAUCAUAUGACAUGACUGCUGCAUUAAACCAUGGGAUAAUGUGUUAAAUUAUUAUUUUUAUCAUCCUUGAUGGACUGUGUUAUUUUCUAAUAAAAGCACAUCUCAAACAUACUCAUUUCACAGCAGUUUACAAAUGAUUACAAUUUUUUACAUUUAUUAAAGAACAAUACGCUGUUUUUUUUAAAAAUCCAUUUAUAGUUAUUGUUAAUGUUGGGGUCCACAAACAUCCACAAAACAAGUUCAUUCUUUCUAUCACUUAUGUUUCAGCAGCUAUAAACAGCUACAAGCUAUAAAUUCACCAGCCUCUCAUUUGUUCUCUCUCUUAAAGUUAAUAAGACAAAAAAAUGCAGCUUGUCAUAUCACCCAGAAAGUACAAAGCCCUCCAUCCUGAAGAUGGAGCUCUGACAAAGCACUGACACUGGAGACUCAACGUGCCAAAUGUGCCAAAUAAACAUUUCUGCACAGAAAAUAUUACUAUAUCAACAAUUAC